AACGAACGCUGGCGGCGUGGAUAAGACAUGCAAGUCGAACGGAAUUACUUUGUAGCAAUACAGAAGUAAUUCAGUGGCGAACGGGUGCGUAACACGUGGGCAAUCUGCCGAGAAGUGGGGAUAGCUCGCCGAAAGGACGAAUUAAUACCGCAUGUGGUGAGGGAAGGACAUCUUCCUGAAUCCAAAGCCGGGGUAACCUGGCGCUUUUUGAGGAGCCCGCGGCCUAUCAGCUUGNGGUGAGGUAACGGCUCACCAAGGCUUUGACGGGUAGCUGGUCUGAGGAGGACGACCAGUCACACUGGAACUGAGACACGGUCCAGACACCUACGGGUGGCAGC
rnacentral:rRNA from 1 species